rnacentral:lncRNA from 10 species
ACAAGCCGGACCACGUGAGCUCGGCCACGCCAGAGGUGUUUACUAUGGUACAUCUAUACUGACAUCCCACUCAGUACUAAAAACAGAACUAUUGAUGCAACAAGCUGGAUCAAUGCCCAGAGAUUAUGCUGAGUGAAAAGCCAAUCCCAAAAGAAAGUAUAAUCCAAUCAAUUUUGGCAAAAUUAGAGAUGGAGAACAGACCGCUGGUGCCAGAGGUUAUGAAGGUGGGCAUAGCUAUACGAGCACAAGAGGAAACUGAAUAUGGCUUAUGACAACAGAUGGGAUCAUUGUGAUAGAAAUGUUCUGUAUCUUGAUUAUAUCAUUUCUAUCCUAUCUUGGCUUGGUUGUGAUAUUGCCCUUGUUUUGCAAGAUGUUAUCAUUGGGAAAACCGGGUGGAAUCUCUGUAUUAUUUCUUACAAGUGUAUAUUUCUCACAAUGAUCUCAAAAUUUUUGAGUUGAAUUGAGAAAAAAAAAAGCCAACGACCUACAUUUAUGCUAAUAGCUUAUGAAAUAAGCUAACAAAGGAGUAGACUGAUAUUAAGCACACAAUUUGGUUCAUUUCCUAGACAAUUUAUUCCUAUGGAGUGGCAAUUCCAGUGCCCGUUCUUAUUCUGCCUAAUCAGAAGUGAUUCUCCUGAUGGUCUCAGGUAUCUAGUAUCUGCCUGGCUAAUUCAAACCUAUGGAUCCCCAAUAAUGUCUUUUUCUUUCUUUCUUUUUUUUAAGACAGGGUCUGGCUCUGUUGUCCAGGCUGGAGUAUAGUGGUGCAGUCGCAGCUCACCGUAACUUCCACAUCCUGGGCUCAAGCCAUCCUUCCCACCUCCGCCUCUUGAGUAGCUGGGAGCAUGUCACCACAUCUAGCUAAUUUUUUGGGAGAGACAGUCUCCCUAUGUUGCCCAUGCUGGUCUCAAACUCCUUGGCUCAAGCUACCAGCUACUCGGGAGGCUGAGGCAGGAGAAUAGCCUGAACCCAGGAGACGGAGGUUGCAGUGAGCUAAGAUCGCGCCACUGCACUCCAGCCUGGGCAACAGAGCAAGACUCCGUCUCAAAAAAAAAAGAAAAAAAGAAAAGAUCAUUUUCCCGUCCUUAAAUUAUUUUGUACAUCUACUACUUGGAAGCAAAGUAGUUUAAAGUCUGGCAAUCUCUCUAUAAUCUUAGGUACGUGGUCCUACACUUAAGCAUAUGUUUGUUUCAUAGAUAUGUAUAAUUAUAUAUGUAUAAUCUUUUAAGUUUGUCUGGUUGGUAUGAAAAUCUAAAAUUACUACUUACCAUUUGAAGAAGCCAAAGGCAGUUCUUAAAUUCUUUCCCAUUUAAGAGAAAAUUUUGAAUAAUGACUCCUUCAUCCAAAUCUGAUAAAGAAUGUGUUCA